GAUGAAGAACGUAGCGAAAUGCGAUAAGUAAUGUGAAUUGCAGAAUUCAGUGAAUCAUCGAAUCUUUGAACGCACAUUGCGCCCGCCAGUAUUCUGGCGGGCAUGCCUGUCUGAGCGUCAUUUCAACCCUCAUGCCCCUAGGGCGUGGUGUUGGGGAUCGGCCAAAGCCCGCGAGGGACGGCCGGCCCCUAAAUCUAGUGACGGACCCGUCGUGGCCUCCUCUGCGAAGUAGUGAUAUUCCGCAUCGGAGAGCGACGAGCCCCUGCCGUUAAACCCCCAACUUUCCAAGGUUGACCUCAGAUCAGGUAGGAAUACCCGCUGAACUUAAGCAUAUCAAUAAGCGGAGGA
rnacentral:misc_RNA from 1 species